rnacentral:tRNA from 1 species
GGGAAGGUAGCUCAGUGGUAGAGUGCUUGCCUUGCAUGCAUGAGGCCCUACGUUCCAUUCCCC